rnacentral:tRNA from 1 species
AGAUCUUAUAUUUUAUAUAAAAUAUUAAAUUGCAAAUUUUAAGAAGAGUAGUCUAAGAUUUA